UUUAAAUGGCCGCAGUAUAUUAACUGUGCAAAGGUAGCAUAAUCAUUAGUUUUUUAAUUGAAAGCUGGAAUGAAUGGUUGGACGAGAUAUUAACUGUUUCAUUAAAAUUUAUAUUAGAAUUUUAUUUUUUAGUUAAAAAGCUAAAAUAAAUUUAAAAGACGAGAAGACCCUAUAAAUCUUUAUAUUUAAAUUAUUAUGAUUAUAUAGAAUAUUUUUGUUAUGAUAAUUUAUAAUAUUUUAUUGGGGUGAUAUUAAAAUUUAAUUAACUUUUAAUCUUUAAAAUCAUUAAUUUAUGAAUAAUUGAUCCAUUAAUAAUGAUUAAAAAAAUAAGUUACUUUAGGGAUAACAGCGUAAUUUUUUUGGAGAGUUCUUAUCAAUAAAAAAGAUUGCGACCUCGAUGUUGGAUUAAGAU
rnacentral:rRNA from 1 species